rnacentral:rRNA from 1 species
GACGAACGCUGGCGGCGUGCUUAACACAUGCAAGUCAAGGAGAACGGAAUUUUUCGGAAUUCUUAGUAAACUGGCGCACGGGUGCGUAACGCGUAGGCAACCUGCCCCGGAGUGGGGAAUAACAUCGGGAAACCGGUGCUAAUACCGCAUAAUAUUCCAGUUUCGCAUGACACUGGAAUCAAAGAUUUAUCGCUCUGGGAUGGGCCUGCGUCCUAUUAGCUUGUUGGUGAGGUAAUGGCUCACCAAGGCUGCGAUGGGUAGCUGGUCUGAGAGGAUGAUCAGCCACACUGGCACUGACACACGGGCCAGACUCCUACGGGAGGCAGCAGUGAGGAAUAUUGGGCAAUGGGCGAAAGCCUGACCCAGCAACGCCGCGUGAGUGAUGAAACUCGUGAGGAAGUGUAAAGCUCUGUUAGGAGGGAAGAACAUUCCGCUUUGCGGAACUGACGUACCUCCAGAGAAAGCUCCGCUAACU